rnacentral:rRNA from 1 species
UACGUAGGGGGCAAGCGUUGUCCGGAAUUAUUGGGCGUAAAGCGCGUGUAGGCGGUCCGGUAAGUCAGCUGUGAAAGUCCAGGGCUCAACCCUGGGAUGCCGGUCGAUACUGCCGGACUAGAGUUCGGAAGAGGCGAGUGGAAUUCCCGGUGUAGCGGUGAAAUGCGCAGAUAUCGGGAGGAACACCAAUGGCGAAGGCAGCUCGCUGGGACGUUACUGACGCUGAGA